rnacentral:rRNA from 1 species
AGUGAACGCUGGCGGUAGGCCUAACACAUGCAAGUCGAACGGCAGCACAGUAAGAGCUUGCUCUUACGGGUGGCGAGUGGCGGACGGGUGAGGAAUACAUCGGAAUCUACUUUUUCGUGGGGGAUAACGUAGGGAAACUUACGCUAAUACCGCAUACGACCUACGGGUGAAAGCAGGGGAUCUUCGGACCUUGCGCGAUUGAAUGAGCCGAUGUCGGAUUAGCUAGUUGGCGGGGUAAAGGCCCACCAAGGCGACGAUCCGUAGCUGGUCUGAGAGGAUGAUCAGCCACACUGGAACUGAGACACGGUCCAGACUCCUACGGGAGGCAGCAGCGGGGAAUAUUGGACAAUGGGCGCAAGCCUGAUCCAGCCAUACCGCGUGGGUGAAGAAGGCCUUCGGGUUGUAAAGCCCUUUUGUUGGGAAAGAAAAGCAGCAGGCUAAUACCCCGCUGUUCUGACGGUACCCAAAGAAUAAGCACCGGCUAACUUCGUG